CUGGACGUCUCUAACCAUGGAUUCCUAUCUUGCUGGAUGAAAACCUCCACUGGCUGGUGUACCAGCCAGGGGAAAUAGUCCCCGUGGUUAUGUAACAGCUCUCAAGAGGAAGCUGCUAACAAGCCCAUCUGAUAUUUUGUGCCAGCUGUUUUAGUGGAGGCGUGCUGAACUAAACUGAGCUCCACCUUCUUUGUUGAGUUCUUUUUCAGGAUAUCCAUUACAACAUGACACAUUCAUUUGGAAAUGGCCAGAAUAUUUAUAGGCUUGGUUCCAGCACAAGAGCAUGGGAUCAAUGUUCUUCCUUUCAGUUGCUCAAAAAGCCAGUUUGAUGCAGUGUUUAGAGGGCUCUGUGUGUCCUCUAACAGGAUUUUGAGGGAUGGACAGACAGCCUACAGUGCAGAUACGAUCUUUUGUGGCUUUUUCUGCUUUGGUGUCAGGAUUGAAGAGCUCUCAUGCUCUUUAGAACCCUUUUAAGACCUUGUCCUCUGGCUUGAAUAAAGGCUAUAGAAUGCUCUAAAUGCA
rnacentral:lncRNA from 14 species